rnacentral:lncRNA from 1 species
UUUAUAAAGGGCAAUUCCCCUGCACAAGCUCUCUUUCCUGCCACCAUGUAAGAUGUGACUUUGCUCCCCAUUCACCUUCAGCCAUGAUUGUGAGACCUCCCCAGCCAUGUGGAACUGUAGUUUUGUUUCACUCUAAUGCUUCCCUUAACGUGCUUAGCCAGAGUACUUUGGUUAUAAACCGGAGUACUUUGUCUUCAACAAGAAGGGACUGUCUCAGAGACCCAGGAAAAGGUCUAUGCCAGGCAGUAUGGGGCACAGACUUCUGAGGAAUUGUUAAGAUAAUAUUGACAACAUACCAUGGACUGAGUCAAGCUAUCCAGUAAUCUAGUGAAGAAGCUGAUGAGUUCAUGAGACUGCCGGUUCAAACUCAGCAUGAUUUUAUCGUCUUUCAAGAAGGAGAGAAUGUAAAUAAAUUAGCUAACUUUGGAAUCUUGCAUUCUCAUUUGUUUAGUAGUUAUUUAAAUUCAUUAAAUUGCUUCAUAUAAGUAACCAUUAUUCUUGACGGUAAAAUUAAGUUUUUCUGUGCCUGGCUUAUUUCACUUAGCAUAAUGUCUUCCUUGGUCAUCCAUGUUAUUACAAAUGGUAAGAUGUUUUUCUUUUGCGAGACUGAUCUUAUUUUCUCAAGAUGACUGACUGGAAACAUCAGAUGCCAGUUCUCAGAAAGAUCAAAGUUACAACUGAAUGGUCAUGAUGUGAACAGAAAGCUAAAGGAAGAGAGCCGGGACUGUUGCAGAGCCCACAGGAAAAAGCUGGGACACAGAAAAGGAAGGUAGCAAGAGUCUGGCAGAGAUUGACCUCCGAGGAAUUUGAAGUCCCACAGAGGGAAUGCAGCAGAGGCUUUCUCCACUGCAGACUGUCACGAAUGCACUUGAAGACAGCCUUUCCAGUGCUAUUCACAGAAACUGCACCCCCGUUGAAAGUGAGCUUGUACCCCACUGGCAUGCAUGAUGGGCAGGGCCCAAUCUCCCCCUCCGUACAUAGAGGAGCAGCAUCGCAGCAACAGAAGGCAGUCAAGCCAUGAAGCCUGGUCUGGACUGGAAGAAGAAGCAUUGUCCUGGGGUCAUUUCAGUCCUGGGGUCAUUUCAAAAUAUUCUUCUGCCAGAAUAUUUUCUCUGACCUCAGUAACACUGUGGCCAGAGUCAAAGGACACUGUCUAUAUGAACUGAAGGUCAUGAGCUCUGUGACAGGGGCACAACAGGGAAGCAAAUCACAUUCCUCCCUGCCCAGGACUAGAGACAGAUGUAACCCCCCAACUUCUUCCCCCAAGACCUCAGUACAUCCCAACACAACUCUCCCUGCCUGCCCCCAUCAGGAUGGGUUGCCUCCACUUAUCAAAGGGCUACCAAAUGUUACUCUUAAGCGCCACCUACUGGAAUGGAGACUGCUGCAUCACUGAAUAAAAAUCCCUGCUGUCCGAAGAGCACAGGGUUAGUGCAUGAGAUAAGCUUCCUGAGACCGCUGCAUUCCCAGUCACGCAGGGCAUAGUGUAUUGGCUCAUAUGCCCAACACAUUGCUAAGGCAAGCAGCAUUUGAGAAAACCACCACACAUGAUUCCAUAUCUUUGUUACUGUGAAUGUGCUGCAAUGAACAUGGGAAUGCAGAUAACGCAUCAAAACACUGGUUUCACUUCUUUUGGAUAUAUACCCAGCAAUGAGGUUGCUGGAUCAUAUUUUUAAUUUUCUGGGGAACCUCCAUGCUGUUUUUUUAUAACGACUUUACCCAUUUACAUUCCCACCAAUAGUGAACAAGUGUUUUCUUUUCUCCACGUCUCCACCAACACUUAUUAUCUUUUGCUUUUUUGAUAAAAUACACUCUAAUACGUAUGAGGUGAUAUCUCAUUGCGGUUUUAAUUUACAUUUCCCUGAUGGUUAGUGAUGUUGAGAAUUUUUUCAUAUCUGCAUUGGCCAUUUGUAUGUCUUCUUUUAAGAAAUAUCUAAGUCUUUUGUCCAUUUUUAAUUCUGUUAUUUAUUUUCUUGCUAUUGAUUUGUUUAAGUUCCUUAUAGAUUUUGGAUAUUAACCCCUACCAGAUGUAGCAAACUGAAUUCAAUGGCACAUUAAAAGGAUGGUUCACUAUGAUCAGGUGGGAUUCAAGAAUGGAUCACCAUAUGCAAAUCAAUAAAUGUGAUACACCCCAUUAACAGAAUGAAGAACAAAAACCAUAUGAUCAUCUCAAUAGAUGUAGAAAUGCAUUUGACAAAAUUCAACAUUUUUUAUGAUAAAAACUCUCAACAAAUUAGUUAUAGAAGCAAUGUACCUCAACACCAUAAAGGUCGUGUAUCACAAGCCCACAUAACAUAAUAUGCAAUGGUGAAAAGUUAAAGCUUUUCCUCUAAGAUCAGGCACAGUAUAAGCAUGCCCAAUCUUGCCGUUUCUAUUCAACAUAAUAAUGGAAAUCCUAGCCAAAGUGAUUAGGAAAGAGAAACAAUAAAAAACAUCCAACUCAUAGAUAAGGGAGUUAAAUUGUUUCUGUUUACAGACAAAAUGAUUAUAUAUAUAUAUAUAUAUAUAUAUAUAUAUAUAAUUGUUGGAAAUAAUAAAUGAAUUCAAUAAAGUUUUGAGAUACAAAAGUAAUGUACAAAUAUCAGUAGUGUUUAUAUGCAAUAACAACAAACUCUCCAAAAAACAAAUCAAGAAAAUUAUCCCAUUUAAAAUAGCUACAAAAAUAUAAAAUACUUAGCCAUAAAUUUAACCAAGAAGGUAAAAGAUGUGUAUAUUGAAAACCAUAAAACAUUGAUGAAAGGAAUUGAAGAAGAUACAAAUAAAUGGAAGGAUAUUUUGUGUUCCUGGAGUGGAGUAAUUAAUAUUGUUAAAAUGUCCAUACUACCCAAAGUGAUCUACAGAUUCAAUGCAAUGCAAUCCCUAUAAAAAUUCCAAUUACAUUUUUCCCAGAAGUGGAAAAAAUCCUAAAAUUUGUACGAAACCACAAACGACCCUGAAUAGCCAAAGCAAUAUUGAACAAAAGUGACUAAGCUGGAGGCAUUGCACUUGCUGUUCUCAAAAUGUACUACAAAGGUAUAGUAAUCAAAACAGCAGAGACUGGCGUCAAAACAGACUUAUACAUCAAAGAAACAGAGUAAAGAGCCCAGAAAUAAAUCCAUGAGUUGACAGUUACCUGAUCUUUUUACAAAAGGGCCGAGAACACACAAUGGAAAAAAGAGAGUCUCUUCAAUUAAAUGGUGUUGGUUAAGUGGAUAUCCACAAGCAGAAGAAUGAAAUUAGAUCUUUAUCUCACCCCAUAUACAAAAAUCAACUCAAAAUGGAUUAAAAACUUAAAUAUAAGACCAGAAAUUAUAAGCCUACUAAAAGAAAACAUAGGUAAAACUUCUUGACAUUGGUCUUGGCAAAUAUUUUUUGAAUAUGACACCAAAAGCACCAGCAAAAAAUAAAAAAUUAAAAAAUUUAAAAAAAUAGACAAAUGGGAUUGCGUCAAACUAAAAAGCUAAAAAGCUUCUGUACAACAGUGGAAACAAUCACCAGUGAAAAGACCACCUACAGAAUGAGAUAAAAUAUUUGCAAACCAUAGAGUAGGUGUUUUAAAAUGUAUAAGAUAAUAAAAUGAAUUAUAUGCCCAUAUAUAGGCAAACUUAUGAAAAAUUGAAAAUAUUUUAGAAAAUAAACAUUUAUUGAUUUAAUUGUGGCUCAAAAGAAAAAACAGAAAAUUUGAUCAGCUAUAAAAGUUGUAUACAUUUUACCAUCAUUCCAAAAUAUACUUACCAGCCUUAGCACACCAUGACAUACUUCUGUCCCGGAAAAUUAUACAGGCUUGUUUUAAGAAUAACAAAGGAUUAUGUGGUGUGCAAUCUCAAUAAGUCAAACAUUUUGGUAUAUGUAAGAUCAUAUAUUAAUUCCCAUACUUACAGCUUCAGCUCUUUAAUAUUGGUGUAUCAUGUCAUAGACUGAGUCAAAUUUUUUUCAUCAACUGCAAAAGAAAACUUCGAUAUUUUAAGUGAGUUUAUCACAAUGGGUUUAUUAUGUUUACAUAUUUGUUUUAUCUGCUUUAUUUGGGAUUUAUUUUCUCACAUUAUUUUUAUGCUUCCUUGUAAUGCAUCUAUGGUAUGAAACUUAGACAACAUACAAUGUAAAUUUAUAUCCUAGCUCAUUUCACUUUUUGUUUUAAUCUGCAGAAAUUUCAGAACAAAAUUUACAGUUGAAUUUUAGUAUCACAAGGGCAUUAUCACAUGCAUUUUUUCUAGAGUAAUUUUAUAUAUUCUAUUUUCAUAGUAUUCCCCACAUAUAUAAUUCCUUCCCAUGUUCCAUUUAUAUAUUUAUAAUAAUACAUACUUAUUUGUUUUUAUUUUUUGUGUAUCAUCUUGUUGUACAUAACCAUAUACAGCAUUUGGAAUAAAAGGUGAAGUAAAUGUAAAAAGAAACCCAAAAUCCAAAAACCCAGAUUCAGUAGCAAUUUAGCAAGAAAUAUAUUUUUAAAUAAGCCCUUAUAUAGAGAGAACACUUUCAACUGAAAGUUCUAGCCUACUAAGCCUGUAUCACCUGAAUUUUUUAAUAACAAACUAUUCAAAAUCAUAUAUUUUUUUUUACUUUUACUUAAGACUUUUAUAAUCCAUUGCUCAACAGUUAGUAUAAAAUGAUGAAUGCUUAUUUUCUGUAAUUUUUGUAUAAAUUUAAAAAUGUAAGUAUUCUAAAUCUGUUUAGACAUGAUUUAUCUUGAUACAUUUCCACAAUGUGCAUUUUUAUAUGAGCUAUUUUCAAAACUAAAGAUAAAUUUUUAUCCUCUUAUGAUAUUAUGGCUUAUUCUUUGGCUGUAAAUUUACCUGUUUUUACACUAUUAAAUUUGAGUAUAUGCAGUUC